rnacentral:rRNA from 1 species
AAGCAGUGUUGUCAAGGCCUUUUCUUCGGGAAAUCCUUGCAAGUUAGACUUCCUUGAAUCUGGCGCGGGAGAGGCUUCUAGACCUGAAUGGGAUAGUUAUCCGCCAUCGCGCCUUUGAGGGACUCUGACGAAAUGCUUCUUAUCAUCCCGUCUUGAAACACGGACCAAGGAGUCUAACAUGUGUGCGAGUGCUCGGGGUGAAUCCCCCAGCGCGGAAUUAACGUAAAGGAGGCUGAGGUAGGAAGUUUUGUAAAAGGAACUGCACUAUCGACCGACCAUGAUCCCUCGGGAGAAAGGUUUGAGUGUGAGCAUACAUGUUGGGACCCGAAAGAUGGUGAACUAUGCCUGAGUAGGGCGAAGCCAGGGGAAACUCUGGUGGAGGUCCGUAGCGAUUCUAACGUGCAAAUUGAUCGUCGAACUUGGGUAUAGGGGCGAAAGACUAAUCGAACCAUCUAGUAGCUGGUUCCUCCCGAAAUUUCCCUCAGGAUAGCUGCAACCGAACAGUUUUAUCAGGUAAAGCGAAUGAUUAGUGGCAUCAGGGGUGGAACGUCCUUGACCAAUUCUCAAACUUUAAAUGGGUAAGAGCCCUGGGUUGCUUAACUGAACCCGGUGGUAGAAUGACGGUUGCUAGUGGGCCAAUCUGGGUAAGCUAGAUUGGCGAUGCGGGAUGAACCGAACGUCGAGUUAAAGUGCCAAAGUAUCCGCUAACCUAGAUCCCACAAAAGGUGUUGGUUCAUCUAG